rnacentral:rRNA from 1 species
UGGGGAAUCUUGCGCAAUGGCCUAACGGCUGACGCAGCGACGCCGCGUGAGGGAUGACGCUCUUCGGAGUGUAAACCUCUUUUGCCCGGGACGAAUUGCCAGUUUUCACUGGCUUGACGGUACCGGGUGAAUAAGCACCGGCUAACUCCGUGCCAGCAGCCGCGGUAAUACGGGGGGUGCGAGCGUUGUCCGGAAUCACUGGGCGUAAAGGGCGCGUAGGUGGUCUUAUAAGGGUGUGGUGAAAGCCCGGGGCUCAACCCCGGGUCGGCCGUGCCGACUGUGAGACUAGAGUGCUGUAGGGGCAGGCGGAAUUCCGGGUGUAGCGGUGGAAUGCGUAGAGAUCCGGAGGAAGACCGGUGGCGAAGGCGGCCUGCUGGGGCAGUUACUGACACUGAGGCGCGACAGCGUGGGGAGCAAACAGGAUUAGAUACCCUGGUAGUCCACGCCGUAAACGAUGGGUACUAGGUGCCUGGGGGAGCGGACCCCUUGGGUGCCGGCGCUAACGCAGGAAGUACCCGCCU